GAUCUGGACGAGGAACGGAAUAUCCCGGCAAACAUCGACCAUGCUGGCGGCUCGAGAGAUGCAGGGUGGCAGGGACGCAGCACAGCAGUCUAGAUAGACAACAUGAGCGGAGUCGAAAUUUUUCGGGCCUUGAGAUUCUCGCUGAGAGCUACUUGAUGCAAUUAUCAAGAUGGAGUUACAAGGAAGUCAUGGAUACAUCCAUGAGCUCAUCAAAUGGAAAAAAAUGUUUUAGAGUGUCGUAUGAUUAUGUGGCAAGCUCUCUAUUUUGGCCAUGGUUGAGGUGUGAUUUUGAUUUAUUGGGCACUGAUGGUGUGCAACAUAUAUCAGAUGAUACCAAGGCAACCGAGGAAGUGGCAUUUGGUGUCACAUGGUGUGGUUUUCCACUAAUAUUAGAAGAUUUUUUUUACCAUUAUAUAUGUCUGGUCUCACAUGGGCUAUCGAAAGAAUUAAUCCUCUAAGGUACCCAAUAAUUGUACUUUGUUCGAUGCUAUCUACAGUUACUAGAUUUUAAAAUUUUAUUUAAUGAGCUGAAAAACUGAGCAUCUUCUGUAUUCUCAUG